AUAGACGUGACCGAGGCGGGUCAAAGUAAAGUAUCUGUUCUUAUCAGAUUAUUAUCUGAUACUAUUCUAUACAGACGCAAGAUAUCAAACUUAUUUUUGGAAGUUGGACGUUUCCCUGACGGCUGCUUCACCUCCGCCAGGGUAGGGCCGGGAUUACAUUAUCUUCAGCAUUGGUUCACGGUUA